ACUGCUCCAAAUUCUCUUUAACGAAAAGUUGCCAGAUUGAUCUGCGAGUGAAACCUUGAAAGCUCGCGAGAUCAGGAUGAUAGAAAGAUCAAUA